rnacentral:rRNA from 1 species
UACGGGGGGGAGCAAGCGUUGUCCGGAUUUAUUGGGCGUAAAGAGCUCGUAGGCGGCUUGUCGCGUCGACUGUGAAAACCCGUGGCUCAACCAUGUGGUCUGCAGUCGAUACGGGCAGGCUAGAAUUCGGUAGGGGAGACUGGAAUUCCUGGUGUAGCGGUGAAAUGCGCAGAUAUCAGGAGGAACACCGGUGGCGAAGGCGGGUCUCUGGGCCGAUAUUGACGCUGAGGAGCGAAAGCGUGGGGAGCGAACAGG